AGAGUCUGUUCCCUACACAGAAGGCAGCAUCCCUUUCCCUCUGAGGACAGUUAUCUGCAGCCCAUAAGGAUUUGUGCUGUGGCUGCUGGUCAUUCCUGUAGGAGAGGCUGGGCUUCUGCCGGCCUGGGAGGGCAUCAGGAGUGGCCAGUUGUCCUGAGCUGGCAUCAUGUCAACUUCAGGUCCCAGGCGAGACCUCGGUGUGCUCACUGGCCCGCACCUACAGGAUUAUGCUGUGGGCCUUGGUGGCUGGGGUGGUGACUCCAGCCAUGGUGGUGGGACAGACUGUUGGCUUCCACACAGCAUUUCCCCUCUUCUGAGCUCCAGUCCAGGAUGGUCCCUCACUGCCCAGGGCCUGGCACCUGUCCCAGAUCCUUCUGCAUCAGCGGGUGCGCAUGGAUUCUGUCUGCCGACACCAGAGCCGCAGAGCCAGACACAGAUUGGUGAGCAGUGCUUAUGCGUUGAAGGCACUCAGGUUCCAUCAUGGAACCAGGUCGCCCGAGGAUGCUGACCCCAUGGAGGCAAUCAGGCUGCAGAGAGCUCGAGGAACGCCUGUCCCUGUGAGCUGCUCAGGGACCUAAGCUCUCAGAGUGUCACUGCCGUUGAUUCUGGAACAGAGUUUGCAGGCCAAGUCCACAAGCUAAGAAUAGUUUUUUACAUUUUUAAAUGGUUAAAAACAAAUCAAAAGAAGAAGAAUAUUGCAUGAUGUGAAAAUGAUAUGACAUUCAAACUAAAUGCCUAUACAUACAGUUUUAUUGGGAUGCAGUGACCUCAUUCAUUUAUACGUUAGUUAGGACAGGGACCCAUAUGGCCUGCAAGGCCUUUAGGGACUUUGGCUGACCCUUUGCAGAAGAAGUUUGCUGGCCACUGAUCCAGAGGCUUCCUUGGCUGGCAGAUGUCCCAGCAGACCACCACUGCUCCCCUUCUGUCCUCCUCCUGGGACUCUCUCCUGGGUGGCCAUGCUGCUUCCAUGACCCUCCUCAGCUGACGGGUUCACCUGUGGCCCUGACCAAGACCAUCACAGUUUCCUGAACAUCAAAAUGCAUUAUCAGUGAGUCUGUUGAAGACAUUUAGAGAGUGAGGAUCUGGAAGGCUGAGGGUGGCACUCUGUGAUUCUUCAGAGCCCUUCUCAUGCCCAGCACAGGACAGGACUAAAUAAAUAAGGGAAACAGAUGGGCA
rnacentral:lncRNA from 1 species